AUGGAUCGGAGCCUCCAAUGGAGCAGGCCGGCGUCGCUGCUCCUCUUGGGGGCGGCGUUCCUGGCGGCGGCGGCGGCCGUAACGAGCGCCAACCCGGCGUACAACCCCGACCCCUAUAGCGUGGUCGACCACUUCAACCGCGCCGUCCACAGGUCGACUAGCCCGCGUCGUGCGCUGUCGUCGGACAAGUCGAAGAAGGCAAAGUACACGGGCCCGUGCAUGGCGACGAACCCGAUCGACCGGUGCUGGCGCUGCCGCAAGGACUGGGCGACGGACCGGCAGCGGAUGGCCCGCUGCGCCAAGGGGUUCGGCCGCGAGACCACCGGCGGCCUCAAGGGCAAGAUCUACACCGUGACCGACCCCAACGACGAUGACUUCACCAACCCGCGGCCCGGGUCGCUCCGGUGGGGCGUGGUCCAGACGGAGCCGCUGUGGAUCAUCUUCGCCAGGGACAUGGUGAUCAACGCCUCCCAGGAGAUCAUCAUCCAGAGCGACAAGACCAUCGACGGGCGCGGGGCGCAGGUGCACGUGGCCAACGGCGGCGGGCUCACCGUCCAGCACCAGAACAACGUCAUCAUCAACAACCUCCACGUGCACGGCAUCAAGCACACGGACGGCGGCAACGUGUCGAUGACGGCAACCCACUCCACCAUCCGCACCCGCGCCGACGGCGACGGCGUCUCCAUCUUCAACGCCACCAAAGUGUGGGUGGACCACCUCUCCAUGGAUAAUUGCGAGGACGGCAUGGUUGACGUGGUGGCCAUGUCCACGGCCGUCACCAUCUCCAACACCCACCUGGCCCACCACAACGACGUGAUGCUCUUCGGCGCCGACGACAAGAAGCCGGAGGACAAGGUGAUGCAGGUCACCGUCGCCUUCAACCACUUCGGGAGAGGCCUGGUGCAGAGGAUGCCUCGCUGCCGCUACGGCUUCUUCCACGUCGUCAACAACGACUACACCAACUGGCUCAUGUACGCCAUCGGAGGCAGCAGCGCGCCCACCAUCCUCAGCCAGGGGAACCGCUACAGAGCACCACCCAACAUGGCUGCCAAGGAGGUACGUCCUCUCCUCCUCACUCCUCACUCCAUCUAUGGAUGGACCCACCGGUUCAAAUCAAAUCAUCAAUUCAAAUUCAAACGCGCGCGCGCGCGAAUUGAAUGGCUGGAGCAGGUGACCAAGCGCGACUACGCGCCCGAGUCCGAGUGGAAGAACUGGGUGUGGAUAUCGGACGGCGACCUGAUGAUAAACGACGCCUACUUCACCACGUCCGGCGGACAAAUUGGCCAGAAGCUCAACGGUAAGGACCUCAUCAAGCCCAAGCCAGGGGAGUACGUCAGGAGGCUCACCCGCUUCGCCGGCCCGCUGGACUGCAACCCGGGCAGUCCCUGCUGA
rnacentral:rRNA from 1 species